CUUGUGCGUGUCACAGUAACACA
rnacentral:miRNA from 1 species